AUGGCGACCGGCGCACGGGUGAGUAACCACGUAUCCAACCUGCCGAUGACUCGGGGAUAGCCUUUCGAAAGAAAGAUUAAUACCCGAUGGCAUAGUUCUUCCGCAUGGUAGAACUAUUAAAGAAUUUCGGUCAUCGAUGGGGAUGCGUUCCAUUAGCUUGUUGGCGGGGUAACGGCCCACCAAGGCAUCGAUGGAUAGGGGUUCUGAGAGGAAGGUCCCCCACAUUGGAACUGAGACACGGUCCAAACUCCUACGGAAGGCAGCAG
rnacentral:rRNA from 1 species